CUUACCCUCUUCCCAGACUUCAAUUUUCAAAAUUGUCCCAAAUCCCAGGAUUGAACACAGGAAAGCACAGUAGCCAUCCCAUUCUGUUGGCCACCAAGCUCCAGACGCCACGCCAGCCGCUUUAAUUGAGUGAUAUUUUUGUAGGUCCUUUGAAUUGGGACCUUAUUCAACACGAAGAGGAAGAAUUUGCAACAUGGGAGGUUGGGGUGGGAGAGAGCCGGAAAGGGUUGUUGGGUUGUGUAAGAUGUGGAGCUAUAGUGGGAGGGUGGAUGUCCAGAAAAAUAUUUUGAAGUAUUUAUACAUCUAUUGGAGAUUAAAUUUAGAAUUGGCUAAAAUGGCUAUUUCUUUAAGGGCUUGUAGAAGGAUCCAACACUCGGUGGAAGACCAUAGUCAUGAUCAGAAUAAAAAUGGAAGUUUUCUGGGGAAGUUUGGGAUGCUAGUUCAAAUUCAUCUUCCUAGUUCCAACACUCAGCGAUGCUGCGUCUGUCGAAGCAUUUGCGAAGCCUCUUGACAAGAGGGCAUAAUAGGAAAGAAGAAAUGCAUUCCCGAUCCCGGAAUCCAAAUACCUCACCCAUGGAGGGAGUCCAAUUCCUCCAAUUUCAGGAAUUGAAUUUCAUUUUUCGUGUGGGUCCCACACAUUGUUGAUUCCUCUAAAUUGUAGUAAACACAAGAGUUAUCCGUAAUCAGAAUCGGAGUCCUUAUUUUCA